AGAGUUUGAUCCUGGCUCAGAACGAACGCUGGGCGGGCAGGSUUAACACAUGGMAAGUCGAACGCUCGUARCAAUACGGGAGUGGCAGACGGGUGUGUAACACGUGGGAACAUACCCUUCGGUACGGAACAACUCGGGGAAACCCGAGCUAAUACCGUAUACGCCUUGGCGGGGAAAGAUUUAUCGCCGAAGGAUUGGCCCGCGUCCGAUUAGCUAGUUGGUGAGGUAAUGGCUCACCAAGGCGACGAUCGGUAGCUGGUCUGAGAGGAUGGCCAGCCACAUUGGGACUGAGACACGGCCCAAACUCCUACGGGAGGCAGCAGUGGGGAAUAUUGGACAAUGGGCGCAAGCCUGAUCCAGCCAUGCCGCGUGAGUGAUGAAGGCCUUAGGGUUGUAAAGCUCCUUCAUCAGGGACGAUAAUGACGGUACCUGAAGAAGAAGCCCCGGCUAACUUCGUGCCAGCAGCCGCGGUAAUACGAAGGGGGCUAGCGUUGUUCGGAUUUACUGGGCGUAAAGGGUGCGUAGGCGGAUUUUUAAGUCAGGGGUGAAAUCCCAAGGCUCAACCUUUGGAAACUUUGCCUUUGAUACUGGGAAUCUUGAGUCCGGGAGAAGGUGAGUGGAACUGCGAGUGUAGAGGUGAAAUUCGUAGAUAUUCGCAAGAACACCAGUGGCGAAGGCGGCUCACUGGCCCGGAACUGACGCUGAGGCACGAAAGCGUGGGGAGCAAACAGGAUUAGAUACCCUGGUAGUCCACGCCUUAAACGAUGAAUGCCAGCCGUUAGGCAGUUUACUGCUGAGUGGCGCAGCUAACGCUUUAAGCAUUCCGCCUGGGGAGUACGGUCGCAAGAUUAAAACUCAAGGAAUUGACGGGGGCCCGCACAAGCGGUGGAGCAUGUGGUUUAAUUCGAAGCAACGCGCAGAACUUUACCAGCUCUUGACAUGGCAGGACGGUUUCCGGAGACGGGAUCCUUCACUUCGGUGACCUGCGCACAGGUGCUGCAUGGCUGUCGUCAGCUCAUGUCGUGAGAUGUUGGGUUAAGUCCCGCAACGAGCGCAACCCACGUCCUUAGUUGCCAUCAUUCAGUUGGGCACUCUAGGGAGACUGCCGGUGAUAAGCCGAGAGGAAGGUGUGGAUGACGUCAAGUCCUCAUGGCCCUUACGGGCUGGGCUACACACGUGCUACAAUGGCGGUGACAGAGGGAUGCGAUGCCGCGAGGCCGAGCAAAUCUCCAAAAGCCGUCUCAGUUCGGAUUGCACUCUGCAACUCGAGUGCAUGAAGUUGGAAUCGCUAGUAAUCGUGGAUCAGCACGCCACGGUGAAUACGUUCCCGGGCCUUGUACACACCGCCCGUCACACCAUGGGAGUUGGUUCUACCCGAAGGCGUUUCGCCAACCCGCAAGGGGGGCAGGCGACCACGGUAGGGUCAGCGACUGGGGUGAAGUCGUAACAAGGUAACC
rnacentral:rRNA from 1 species